rnacentral:lncRNA from 1 species
GACUGUAUUGUCUGCUAGACCAUUUAUUCAAAGUGGGAGGAUGAUGUUCUAAAAGCCAAUGAUAAAGCUCAUGGCAAUGCAGGGUAUAUCUGAUGGCAUGGAAUGCUUUAGGAUGGCCAAGAUUGCCCAUCAAAUGCCAAGUCACCGAAGUUAUUAAUGGCUCUCCUACUAGGAGCCUGACAUCAUGGUGAGCAUCGAGAAAGGAAUAACCUAAGCUGAAGACACGCCUUUUCAGGAGGCCAAGUUCCACGUUCUGUGCAUGCUUUUGGCGAAAGUCAGCAUAUCUGAAGGCCCUGACUCAACAGUAGUGGGUCUUAAUGCUUGUGCUUGUCCACCCUUCUCGGCAGUGAUUGAUUUCAUUGUUGGCUUGUUUUCAUGACUUGAAUGUGCGAUCUUCAGAGGGCCUAAUUCCUUGCAAGUUCCAUUUGAGGGUGGAAGAGCUAGAACAAGCUAUAACCAGUAGACAACUCCGUGACUCAGGAGCUUAAGCAUGUGACUAAUUAGUAAGAAAAAAUGUGGUGAAGAUUUGUAGUUAAUAAGAAGGAAAGAAGAAUCACUGGGGCUAGAAUUAUGCAAGCUUUUGUUUCCUUUUGGGACUAUAUCAGAACUAUGAGAGAAGAAAGGCUACCUUUUACCUUUGAGGAAUUUUCAAAGCCUUUUUUUUUUUUUUUGGUUGGUUUGUGACUGACAAAGGGCACAAUUUCAACACCUCAGAAAAAUGCCUCAUCAUUUCCUCUUGUGAAAUCUGGGUGCUUCUGAAUGAAUCCAUGUUAGGAAUGUGUACUUCCAUCCAUUAAAGUCAAUGUCCAGUCUCAUUUUGGGCCAGAGGCUGUUACUAAGUUGUAGUACUGGUGAGAAAAGGACAGAGCAUUUACCUUCCCUGGGUAUCCUGUGACCUACAUGUGUCCUUGCAAGGCAGGGAAAUGUUACUAAUUAAGAGCAUAGCCUUUCGUCAGAUGGGUUCAGAUCCUAACACAUCCUCUUUCUGGUUACAGGACAGUCCUCUCUGAGCCUCAGUUUUCUCAUCUCUAAGAUGAGGCUAAUUAUACCUACUUCCCAGGGGGGUACUAAGGAUAAAGUAACAACACAAGAAAAUUUUUUAUCCUUGAUUUUCUUAGCUGGAAAAUUAGGCUAGAAAGACCUCCAUCCUUGGGGUAUUUAAAAUAAAAGGACAAACAUAUGAUGAGUCUAAGUGAUCAAUACAUUGUGGCUUUUGUACUUACUAUUCUGAAACAUGGGUGUGGCCUAGAUACUUUCCAAAAUUCUGCCCUCUCCACCUAGCAAAAUGACAACCAGACUUACAGAUAUGCCAACAAGCUAGUGUUUAAUAAUGGUGUUUGAUGAUAAAUGGCAUUUCUUUUCGACAUUUGUCUCUUUUUAAAACUUGGUGCUCUUAAAUGCAUCAUUGGAUAAGUGAUGACUGUUCCCAUUCGCAAGAAGAGACCUGGAAUCUAAGCAUGAAGGACCUGUCCUGAUGUUGAGAAGUGUGGAUCACAUUUAUUUGUAAACUUAGCUUCUUGCUCGUCUCAUGGUUGCUUUUUUUUCUUUUUCCUUUUUCUUUUUUUUUUUUUUUUUUUUUUUUUUUUUUUUGAGAGGGAGUCUCACUCUGUCACCCAGGCUGGAGUGCAGUGGUGUGAUCCCGGCUCACUGCAACCUCCACCUCCCGGUUUCAAGCAAUUCUCCUGCUUCAGCCUCCCCAGAAGCUGGGAUUACAGGCACGUGCCACCAUACCCGGCUAACUUUUUUUUUUUUUUUUUUUUUUUUUUGGGAUUUUUAGUAGAGAUGGGGUUUUGCCAUAUUGGUCAGGCUGGUCUCGAACUCCUGACUUCGUGGUCCGCCCACCCGCCUCAGCUUCCCAAAGUAUUAGGAUUACUGGCGUGAGCUACCGCGCCUGGCCUUAUGGUUUUUCUCAUUUUUUCUUCCCUUCCUCCCUCGAUUCCUUUGUUCCUUUUACUCUACCAUGCCUACUGUAAAGAAUAAACAAUAGAUUGGAUCUACUCUCAAGAUGCAGGAUAGAGAAAACCAUCAUUUAUUAAAUGGCAUCUACACCGCAGGCUUUGUACCAGGCACACACUCCACUGUUCCCAGUUAUCCCUUACUGCACCCCUAGAGGUAUAUGUUUUCCCAGAAAAGAUAAACAAGUUGCCCAAAGUCACAUAUCACAUAGCUAGCAAGCGAACAUGGGGCUGAAAUAAAACACUGCCCAAUUCCAAAAUCCAUAUACUUGUUUCUUCAUGUUUCCCUAUGAAAAUGGCAAAGGUGAGGAGUGUGUGGUGUGUGUGCGUGUGCGCGUGCAUGUGCGUGUGUGUUUGCACAUGGAAAAUUCCAAAUAUCACAACUUCUCUAUAGACACUAGACUCAUUCUUUGGCUAUGGCUGUGUCCGUUAUCCCAAACUCUAUCUUUACCCCAGUUUUUACACUUGCAAAAGUAGAGAAACUUUAAGGUCCACCAGCUUUUACUAACCUCCCUCUUGCUCUGAUAGCUGUGUAAUAAUUUUUGUAUCCUUCCCAGUGGGUUCCCAGUCUUUUCAUCUGCUAGGACCAUCUGGUAACUCAUCACCAAACAUGGUGCCUGACAGCAUCACUGGUGCCCUGCAAAUGUCCACCUGAUAAAUGAGUGAAUUAAUGAAUGAAUAAGAAAAUGAAGGAUACUGGCUGCCCCUGGCCAACUAUAUCUUGGCUUUGGCUUGUCAUUCUAGAUUUGUGAUACUGGCUUCUAGCAGAAGCUUAAAGCCUCUUUUUUGUUCUUUUGUUCCUCUAAUGUACUCCCCCUGCCCCUCCACCAAGAUGGGAAGGAGGGCUGAUCUGAGCAUUCAGGUUUCAGAAUGCUAAUUGGAUAGCAGCCAAUUAGAAGUAGAUCCGUAAGGAUUUAAUUAGACUUUCUGGGUAGAUUUGGAUAUUGCUUUCAAAAUGAAAAGGCCCCAAAUCCAGGUUCCCCUGGAUUAUAAUAGUUUUAUGGCUCUGCCCUGCUUUAAUUUGAGGCUAGUUGGCAAUACCCUGUCCAGGAAAAAGGAAUCUUCCAUGUAGUCCUGUCUGUUCUACUGAGGUCUACAUUUGGGUUUUAGCAAACAAUUCAGCUAAUAUAUAUUAUUUUUCUUUGUUCUCAAGGAUUUAAUGGCAAGAUGCCAUUAUAGACAAGAACAGGAUUCAGACACUUUCGUGUUAUGUGUUCUUGUCCAAAUACUGUGUCACUCUGCACUGGCAUCCCAAUCCCACCAACACCUUUAGCAGGAACUUCCUGUUUCAAUAACAUUUCUCAAUACUCUACCUGAUUGCUUAGAAUCCAUGAGACAGCCAUAUUCUCCAUGUCUAGGUCCCUAUCUUAUUUUUGUUGAGAUGGUGUUAAGACUUUAUUUGUGAGGCUUCUGGGGAAGAGGAGUAAGGUAUUGAUCCCACUGACUGGAUAAUUUGGGUCUCAAAAUGGAUAAUAAAUAAGCAUUACAUAUUUUGACCACUUCCUUGGAGGAGAACUUCUUGGAAUGUGCACCAUGUCCGCUGCACUUUUUUUGCACAGAUAUCUAAGUUGGAGAAACAUACUACUAGAUAAAUCAAUUUGUUCUCUUAGUACUCAUGAUAUGGUUCCUGGGAACUUCUGAUUCACCAAAUUAAUCUUGGCCAGGUACAUACCUGGCAGGAAUCCAAAAAUUCCCCAAGUCUCCUUGAAGUUCAGGAUCAUCAUUCUUAAUAAAUACACCGAGGGAAAAACCAUGGAGAGUUUGUCCCAGAUGCUGUGAAUCUGGCCCGGGGUACAUGAAGAAGUCCUUAAUUGCAGUCAUUUACAUGGUAGAUUCUCUAUAAUCAUUUAAUUUGCUAUAGGUCUAUGAUUUUUAGUCCUUCUUCUCUAAAUGAUUGAACAUGUAUAAUUCCCAUUUCAAUCAUAUUACCUGGAUGAACAAAAGUAACGCUAGACUCAUUCAUGCAUUCUGGUUGCCAAGGAAAAGGAAAAAAAAAACAAAACAAUCAACAGGAUGUUUAAACUGUCUUAGGGCAACUUCAGGCCAUAGUCACUGGUGUUCUUGCAGACUAUGAGAUAUUUUACAUUCUGAUAAGGGAUAAAAAUUCGUGCCUCACAUGGCUCCCAUCACACUAAGAUCUUGCAACAAUAACACUACUGAUUCAGACAUUAAUCUUAAGUAUCCAGGGAGCCCUAAAACAUUGUAUCCCACUAGCAAGGACCAUGGUAAUUGCCACGUAAAUCCCCUCCAUUAUGUGGCCCUUAUUAUGACCAGCCAGCCAAGGCUUGCCUUUAAAUCAUACCAAUUGAACCGAGCCUUGUAGAAACACUAUCACCUACGCAUACCUCUGCUUCUUUUCAUUAACCUGCUAUCCUCUUUACAAAUGGGAUUCUUCACCCACUCCCUUCUUCUAGAUUAGCAAUGCCCUGUUAAGUAAACGAACACGAAAUUCAAAGGGAAACAGGAGCAAUCAUCAUUACCAGCUGCCGUGUUAAGCAUUGCGAAAACGCUCACGAUUCACAGAAAAAUCCAUGCUGUUCUUUGAAGGCAUUCAAGCCUUAAUAGCUAGCUGGAUGAAUGUUUAACUUCUAGGCCAGGCACUACUCUGUCCCAACAAUAAGCCCUGUACAUUGGGAAAGGUGCCGAGACAUGAACUUUGGUCUUCUCUGCAAUCCAUCUGGAGCAUUCACUGACAACAUCGACUUUGAAGUUGCACUGACCUGGCCAGCCCUGCCACUUACCAGGUUGGCUCUGUAUGGCUAAGCGUUUUCUCCUAAAAUCCCUUGAAAACUGUGAGAAGACCAUAAGAAGAUCAUAUCUUUAAUUCUAUUUCACAAGUCACACAAUAUUCCAAUCAAAUACAGAUGGUUGAGAAAAGUCAUCCAUCUUCCCUCCCCACCCUCCCACAGCCCCUCAACCACUGCCCUGAAACUUAUAUGCUGUUAUCCGCAGCUCCAUCUGGAGCAUCACAGCUACUGUCAACCCUGACGCUCUUUCUGAAAAAACACCGGAUGGACAUCAGAACUAUUUCUUUAAGGAUGUUACUGAGCCACACAGGAAAACUUGCCUUAUGAUUUUGAAUGCACGGAUCUGAUUUGACUAAACAUGAUAACUAGAGAAUCACCCAAUCUACUCCCAUUUUCAACUCUAAAUCAUCAGAGUGUCUCAAAUCCAAAGCACACACAGACCAGCCUGGCCAACACGGUGAAACUCCACCCCUACUAAAAGUAUAAAAAUUAUCCAGGUGUGGUGGCGGGCGCCUGUAAUCCAAGCUACUUGGGAGUCUGGAGGCAGGAGAAUCCCUUGAACCUGGGAGAUGGAGGUUGCAGUGAGCAGAGAUCACACCACCGCACUCUAGCCUGGGCCACAAAUCAACAACAACAACAACAACAAAAAACAAAGCGCACACAGAGACUGAGGUCCUCUUUGGCAUUGAGAAGAUGGCUAUGCAAGUCCCAACUAGCAAGUGCAAACUUCCCAGCUUCACUUCUGCCAGUGUCCCUUCACCCCUUCUCAACCCCACUGGGAGGCAGGAGGGUGCUUGACAAUAACAGCCUUGGCAUCACUCUGCCAGGGUGUAAUAGGAACUGUUACAAUUCUGAGAUUCUGUGUAAGCACUGGCCUUUCUGCCUAGAAUGCCUUCUCCUCUCUUUUUUAACUGCAUGCUCCUAUUUAUCUUUCAAAGCCCGGAAAAAAUAACACUGCACACGGGAAAUGCUCCCUUCCUACUGCAGUCAUUUAGAUGACUCUAUGCCAUUCCAUUCAUUUCUCUUUCCUACCACAGAAGUGCUUUGAGAUUUUGGAGUCAGACUGCUUGAACUUGAAUCCUGGCCCUCUCAUCAGAGACUUGACUUAUUUUAGGCAAGUUAUAUAACCAAUUUUACCUCAGUUCCUUACCCAUAAAAUGGGUCUAAUGAGAGUACCUACCACACAGAAUUUUGAUGAAAACUGAAUGAGAUGAAGGCCUUUAAGGCAGUGGUCCCCAACCCUGGGGACACAGACAGGUACCAUUUUGUGGCCUGUUAGGAACUGGGCCACACAGCAGGAGGUGAGCAGUGGGUGAGUGAGAUCAGCGUUAUUUACAGCUGCUCCCCAUUGCUCACCUUACUGCCUGAGCUCCACCUCCUGUCAGAUCAGCAGUGGCAUUAAAUUCUCAUAGCAGCACAAACCCUGUCAUGAACUGCACAUGCGAGGGAUCUAGGUUGUGCGCUCCUUAUGAGAAUCUAAUGCCUAAUGACCUGUCACCGUCUCCCAUCACCCCUAGAUGGGAGUGUCUAGUUGCAGGAAACAAGCUCAGGGCUUCCACUGAUUCUACAUUAUGGUGAGUUGUAUAAUUAUUUCAUUAUAUAAUACAAUGUAAUAAUAAUAGAAACACAGUGCACAACAAAUGUAAUGUGCUUGAAUCAUCCCCAAACCAUCCCAGUCCACGGUCUUCCACAUUUUGUCUUUUCACAAAAUUGUCUUCCACAAAACUGGUCCCUGGUGCCAAAAAGGCUUGGGACCACUGCUUUAAAGCCUUUGCAUAGUGCUUAGAAUUGAGGGGGAAAAAAAAAACAAAAACAAUGUAGCUAGUUGCUACAAUCACUAUAUUGGUGAGUUUCAAAAGGAAAAGAAUUCUGUCCCAUUUAUGCUUGAGCCUUGAGUUGCUAACCAAGCCUGACACAAAAUUACUGUUGAAGGGAUGUGUGAGUCCUAAUUGAAAUGAGGCCUCUUAAGGGAAUUGUGGACCAAACCCCAAGCAGGCAGAAAGCCGUAUCUUAAUUAUUGCAAGUAUUUCAGGCAAGGUGUGGAUGGCCAUUUGAAUUCAAGCAGACUAGGACCUGGGAUGAGAAAGAAGGUGUGUACGUGACUUGAUCUUUGAACUUUAGCUCACCAUCUGGAAGAAGGCUGAGUAUUCUCUGCACUCACAUAGUAGCUAAUGCCUACUCCCCAGCCACCCACAAUUCUUUCUGUAGGAAGGCUCGCUAGAAUACUUUGUGAUAUUGGAUAUUAGUUCCAUAUUCUACUGUGUAUCUUAGUUCAACCAAAUUGUAAUCAUCUGAUAUUUAUUUCUUUUAAUAUAAAUAUAAGUAUAUUAAGUCUUGGCAUGCUUGCUCAGUCUCUCUCUCUCUCCCAUUCCUCCCCGCUCCCCUCUCUCUUUCCCAACAGGCUUGGAAAGCAGGCAUCACCAUGCCUAUUUAACAGUUGGGGUCCCUUGGCCACCAGGUGCUGGAGUAGGAAUCUGAGCCCGGACAUGCCUGAUCUGUAAAUUUUGUGUUUUCCCCACUGUGCUGGGCAGAUCACAGCUAUCAGCGCCAAAUUCAUAGAAGGGGCGCCCCCUGUGGUCAAUUGAGGGAUUUGUGUUUGAGGUAGAUCUCAAGAAGGAAUGGGUGGGGAACUUAGCCUAGGACAGAGCAGAAAGGAGCCCUCACUCCCCAAGCACCAACGGCCUCAGUCCUUCCUGCUGACUCCAGCCUCUAGCUCUCACCCAGACUAUCUGCAUCCUUCUCUCCACCACGCUCCUUUGGAACCUGCGUAAAACACAGAUUAAAGGAAUUCCGCCUUACUUCCCUUUCCGCAUUAUGACCAAAUGGUUUUACACUAUCAUUGAACAGUUUAGUACAAAACAUGCCACCUUUUAAUCUAUUCAUUCAUUUAACAAAUACUUUGGAGUGUUUACCAUGUGCCAAGUGCUGUUCUAAUAGACAUAAGCUGUGAGGUUAUGCUUAUCUGAUUCUCACAGCAACAGCUUUCGAGAUAUGAAUUGGUAUACUCAUUUGACAGAUGAGGAAAUUGAAUUCAUGUAGUGAGAAAGGAAGAGCUGCAAUUCAGGGUUACUGGUUUCUCCUGCACUAAGCACUGAGCCACACUAGAAGAGAAGGCAUGAGGAAGACAAAAGUGAGAAGGUACGAGAGAAGAUAUUAAGUAGAGGUCUAUUAGUUCCUCUUAAAACUAUUUAUGAAAGAGGCGGAUGGGGUAGUGGAUGGGAAAGACAGAUGGAUUCAUGUUCUUCACUCCAGGUUUCCCCCCAUUCCCUUCCCUUUUAAAUGCCUGCUCAUUUUUUGGCUACCUUUCAAGCUCUAGGAAAUACUCUGGAAUUCCAGGCUGGGAGGGGUUUCCUUUGCAGAUCUGGCUAUUGUAACUUUACAAGAAAUUGCUCAAUACUUCCUCUCACCAGUUACAAACCACGGUUUUCUGAAUGAACUUUAUGUUCAUUAAACAGUUAACCCUUCAGCUUUCUGACUCACAUUUUUCAUGUUAUUAAUCAGCUCUUAGAGUAAGGUAAAAUCUAGAACAGACUUUAUAUACACCCUCCCUCCCACACACAUAUACAUACAUAAUACAAACACAGACCACACAUGUCCACAUCCUUAUGCGCAAACACUAAGAAACACACGCAUACACAAACAUACAUGUACACAAAAUUAAAUACAUAGCUAUGGCACUUUCACUAUACAUGUAAACACCCUUACACACAUACAAAUGUACAUGCGCGUGUGCGCACACACAUAUGGAAUUAGCUUUUUCUCUUUGUGGGAGGAGGGAAAUGAAAAGACCCAAAACAUUCAGAUUCCCAAAUGGACACGUAAGAACCCCGUCAUGGAAAUAGGUCUGGGUUUUUUUCUCUUUUGAGGGAAGCAGGGCGUUUCUGGUUACUGUCGCCAUUGCCAUUGUGCCCCUGCUUACCAUCCCCCUGCACCGCCCCCCCGGCCCCCGCCCGCCACUGCUAGGGUUUACAGGUCAUCCCUGGAUUAAAUAAGUGAUAUUGUGUUUUUUUUUCUUUGACACAAAGUAAAAUUAUAAUUAAUAUUGAAUAAAGUAAAAAUGAACUCCUGAGUUCCAGUCCCUUAUGUAACACACCUGGUUUGUGGCAGGCACUCAGGAAAUAUUAGUUGCAUGAACGAAGGCUGCAUUUUCAUUAGAACAACAUGCAGUUCAACCCCUUCAUGUUUCAAUGAGGGUUCAGAUACCCAGAGGGCUAUGCUAUCAUCCUGGAGCCCACUCUGCUAACAAUUAGCAGAACGGAAGCCUUAAUUUCCAGAUUCUAGUGAACUUGAUGAGUCAAGACUAUUGCAAUUGGAAAUCUGUUCUCCUCUGCUGCUGCAUUCCCUGCUUAAUACUCAAGCCAGAAACCAGGAAGGCUGUGGCUUGCCUUUUCACUUCUUGUGUCCUGUUUAAGAAAUAUCUGCUAUCCCAAGAUUGCAAACUCCUAGAGAAGGGCUCAACAGUGAGUGCUGAGGCUGCACAGAGGAGGAAGGCAGCACAAUGAUGGAAGGCUUCCUAAAGAGAUUGAGCCUCAUAUUUCAUAUCUGCCCCUGGCCUAAUGGUUGUUUACAGAAUGAGCUCAAUGAAUAUUGUUAAAUAACACUAACAAAGUUGACCUUAGAAUUGGAGUGCCUGGGUUAGAACCCUGCUGGUACCACCUGCUUACUGCAUGCUUCUGAUGUGAGUUCAGGAGAAGACACUGGCAAGGACAGCAAAGAACAGGAGAACACUCUAGCUUCCCUGAUAGCAUUCAAGGUGCUGUCCAAACUGACUGUGAUGGCACCCUCCAGACAGACAGCGAUGCCACAUGUUCAAGAUGGCAGAAUCACUAUCAGCUUCAAUUCCUGAAUGACUGCAGAGCAAAAUUUCUUACCUGCAACAUACACUCUAUUUUCAGCCUCCCUGGACUGUUACAUAAUGAUACAUAAAAAUAUUUCUUGUGUUGAGGCAUCCCAAAUUUGAUUUAUUUGUCAUCACAGUCUAUCCUAUGAAUAUAUUUCUGAUCCAAAUAAUGCUAGAUUCAUGAGAGUUUAUAGUCCAGAGAUUUUUUUUUUUUUUUUGAGACAGAAUCUGUCUCCCAGGCUGGGGUGCAGUGGCAUAAUCUUAGCUCACUGCAACCUCUGCCUCCCGGGCUCAAGUGAUCCUCCCUCCUUAGCCUCCAUGAGUAGCUGGGACCACAGGUGUGCACCACCACACCCCGCUAAUUAUUUUGUAUUUUUUGCAGAGGGGGGUUUCACCACAUUGCCCAAGCUGGUCUCAAACUCCUAGACUUAAGGGAUCUGCCUGCCUUGGCCUCCCAAAAUGCUGAAAUUACACUUGUUAGCCAUAGUAAUAGUUCCUAGCCAUAGUCCGGAGAUAUUUUAAAAACUUUAGUGUGAGUUAUUUCUCUUUGCUAUAAUUCUCUCAUGCAUUUUGAAAACCUUUUCUGCCAUACAGUGGUUUUUGGGAAGUCCUUUUGGACAGACAUAUCACAGGAUGGAGAAACUAAAAAGAGAGAAUGCAUUAAAGAAAAAAUAGUACUUCGUAUUUCAGAAAUUACAAAAGGGUGUCAUGCCCCACAGCAUGGUGGGCAGUCAUUUGUAACCCACAGAACAUUGAGUUUCUAAAAUUUGAGUGUUUUUAACUUACGAAGGCCAACUUUACUGAUGAAGUGAUUACCCCAAAUAUGUGAAAUCCAUAUUUCAAGUACAAUAGUAGGAAAUUGGAAAUGGGUAGGUAUAUUUCUGACUGUCAAAGAGUACAAAGUAAAGAGGGGCCCCUGAAGAGUGACACUACUGGAAAAACAGAAGAAAAAAAAAACUGUUUCUUUUUUUAAAGAGCAGUCAACCUCAAACUUACUACUAAUGACUGUAUUUCAUUUCAGUCUACCCCAGUGGUUUUGUUUCUCAUAGACUGUAGAAUGUAAGCCUUUUUGGUCAUUCUGACAGAUUUUCCAGCACAAAGAAUAUCAGGGGAUUAACUGACAAAUCAUGGGUAUUUUUGGCAAGAUAGUAGAUUAACCCUGGAAAUUUUCUCCAUCUAUGAGAAAAAAAGACAUGUGCCACCUGAGGGUUACAAAGACUGUUGGUGGCUGACCUCAGGCUCCUGUCUUUUAUUUUAUUUUAUUUUUUUACCAUUUUACCUCUGCCCUGUUUUUUUAAAUUAUUAUUAUUUUACUUUAAGUUCUGGGAUACAUGUGCAGAACUGCGGGUUUGUUACAUGUGCCAUGGUGGUUUGCUGCACCUAUCAACCCGUCAUCUAGGUUUUAAGUCCCACAUGCAUUAGGUAUUUGUCGUAAUGCUCUCCCUCCCCUUGGGCCCCACCCCUCAACGCGCCCCACCCCUCAACAGGCCCCAGGGUGUGAUGUUCCUCUCUGUGUGUCCUUGUGUUCUCACUGUUCAGCUCCCACUUAUGAGUGAGAACACACAGUGUUUGGUUUUCUGUUCCUGUGUUAGUUGGCUGAGAAUUAUGGCUUGCAGCUUCAUCCAUGUCCCUGUAAAGGACAUGAACCCAUUAUUUUUUGUGGCUGCAUAGUAUUCCAUGGUAUAUGCCAUGUGCCAUGUUUGCUUUAUCAUUGAUGGGCAUUUGGGUUGGUUCCAAGUCUUUUCUAUUGUAAUUAGUGCUGCAAUAAGCAUACGUGUGCAUGUGUCUUUAUAGUAGAAUGAUUUAUAAUCCUUUGGGUAUAUACCCAGUAAUGGGAUUGCUGGGUCAAAUGGUAUUUCUGGUUCUAGAUGCUUGAGGAAUCAUCACACUGUCUUCCACAAUGGUUGAACUAAUUUACACUCCCACAAACAGUGUAAAAGCGUUCCUAUUUCUCCACAGCAUCACCAGCAUCUGUUGUUUCCUGACUUCUUAAUAAUUGCCAUUCUAACUGGUGUGAGAUGGUAUCUCAUCAUGGUUUUGAUUUGCAUUUUUCUAAUGACCAGUGAUGAUGAGUUUUUUUCAUAUGUUUGUUGGCCAAAUAAAUGUCUUCUUUUGAGAAGUAUCUGUUCAUAUCCUUUGCCCAUUUAUUGAUGGGGUUGCUUGAUUUUUUUCUUGUAAAUUUGUUUUCAGUUCCUUGUAAAUUCUAGAUAUUAGACCUUUGUCAGAUGGGUAGACUGCAAAAAUUUUCUCCCAUUCUAUAGGUUGCUUGUUCACUAUGGUGAUAAUUUCUUUUGCUGAACAGAAGCUCUUUAGUUAAUUAGAUCCCAUUUGUCAAUUUUGGCUUUUGUUGCCAUUGCUUUUGAUGCUUUAGUCAUGAAGUCUCUGCCCAUGCCUGUGUCCUGAAUGGUAUUGCCUGGGUUUUCUUCUAGGGUUUUUAUGGUUUGGGGUUUUACAUUCAAGGCUUUAAUCCAUCUUGAGUUAAUUUUUGUAUAAGGUAUAAGGAAGGGGUUCAGUUUCUGUUUACUGCAUAUGGCUAGCCAGUUUUCCUAGCACCAUUUAUUAAAUAGAAAGUCCUUUCCCCAUUGCUUGUUUUUGUCAGGUUUGUCAAAGGUCAGAUGGUUGUAGAUGUGUGGUGUUAUUUCUGAGGUCUCUGUUUCAUUGGUCUAUAUAUCUGUUUUGGUACCAGUACCAUGCUGUUUUGGUUACUGUAGCCUUGUAGUAUAGUUUGAAGUCAGGUAGUAUGAUGCCUCCAGCUUUGUUCUUUUUGCUUAGGAUUGUCUUGGCUAUAUGGGCUCUUUUUUGGUUCCAGAUGAAAUUUAAAGUAGUUUUUUUCUAAUGCUGCAAAAAAAGUCAAUGUUAGCUUGAUGGGAGUAGCAUUGAAUCUAUACAUUACUUUGCUCUGCCCCUGUUUAUACAUACAUGACUGAUAUGGUUUGGCUGUGUCCCUGCCCAAAUCUCAUCUUGAAUUCCCACAUGUUGUGGGAGGAACCUGGGGGGAGGCAACUGAUCAUGGGGCAAGUCUUUGCCAUGCUGUUCUUGUGAUAGUGAAUAAGUCUCAUGAGAUCUGACGGUUUUAAAAAGAGGAGUUCCCCUGCACAAAUUCUCUCUCUUUGCCUGCUGCCAUCCAUGUAAGGCAUGACUUACUCCUCCUUGCCUUCUGCCAUGAUUGUGGGGCUUCCUCAGCCAUGUGAAACUGUAAGUCCAAUUAAACAUCUUUCUUUUGUAAAUUGCCCCGUCUCAGGUAUGUCUUUAUCAGCAGUGUGAAAAUGGACUAAUACAAUGAUACAAGAGUAGUUAGAACAGUAUUUAUAAAUGUGCCAAUGUUAAUCAACAUAGGAGUUAACGAUUCCCUGUUUUUCUGUGAUUUCUCAUGCACCAAAAAUAUAUUAAGAUAAAAUAUACAAUUUUCAUUCACUAUUAAGUGACUAACCUCAUAUUGCUUUCAAAGGCAUUUAUUGGCACCUACUAUGUGUGAAUACACUCAGCUUGCUUAUGUGAAAGCUGAAUAACAAAGUGGUUAUGUAACUUAAUGAAGGUCCCACAACUAGGAAGUGGUAGAGUAACUUUCUAAACCACUUUCCUCCCAGUUUAGUUUCACAUUCAUGUGUUCAGUCAACAAGCACUUAUGGAAUCCUGAUGCUGGGCCCUACUUUAUGGUAGACACUGAAGAUACAGACUUUGUCCCUGCCCUCAUGGAGUUCACAGUUCAGGAGGGAAACCAGAUUUAAUCAAAUAACCACACAAAAAUUUGCUCGUAAAAUGAAACCAAUGCUAUAAGGAAAAUGAACAGGGUGAUUUGAGAGCAUAUAAUAGGAUUUUAUCAUAUCUGAUGAUUCAGAGUAAUGUUCUCCUAUAGAAGAGAUGUGGGAACUGACAUCUGAAGUGUCAGUGUUAGUUAGCCAGGUGUGGUAUAUAAAAGAUGACCAGCUUAUCCACCAAGAGGUAGAAUUGCUUUCCCCAUGCAUUAAAUCUGGACUGGCCUUUGACUUGCAGUGUCCAACAGAUAAAGUGGAAGUUUCUGCUCUUGCUCCCUUGGAAUAUUGUUCUGAGACUGCCAGCUGAAGAAGUCUAGUCUAGUCUAGUUUAUUAGUGGAUGAGAGGCUGGUAGAAAAGCGAAAAACUGUUGCAGCUGAGUCCCCUGAGUCCAACCAGUUGACAGCCUGCAGCGACUGUGUGAGGCCAUCUUAGAUUAUUCAGCCCCACUACAGAUGCCAAAUAUCUGCAGCUGUAAAAGUGAUUCCAGGCAAUAACAGAAGAACCAUCCUGCUGAUCCUAGCCCAAAUUGCUGGCCAUAGAACCAUGAGCUAAUAAGACAGCUGUGGUUAUAAUAUAUUGAGUUUGGGGUUGGCAUGUUACAUGGCAGUCAGUUAUUGAUACCCUGAGAGAAGUAUGGAAGCUGGGACUGAAUUCUAGGAAGAGGGAAAGAUAUAGGCAAAGGUCCUGAGGAGGGAAGAAUAAACUUUUAGAGAACUGAAAGAAAGAUGAUGAGAUAGAAGACUUCAGAGGGCUAGGCAAGGCCCAAGUCUAAAAGCAGUGUCUUAGAAUCUGUCAAAAAUCUCAUCUUUUUAUUGUUGUUUGGAACAAAGUCUUUCUUUAUUGCCUAGGCUGCAGUCAUGCAGUGGCACAAUUAAAGCUCACUUCAGCCUCGACCUCCUGAGCUCAAGCAAUCAGCCUCCUGACUAGCUGGGACUACAGGUGUGGAUGACUAUACCCAGCUAUUUUUUUUUUUUUAUUUUUUGUAGAAACAGGGUCUUACCAUGUUGCUCAGGCUGGUCUCAGACUUCUGGGCUCAAGCAAUCCUCCUGCCUCAGCCUCCCAAAGUGUUUGGAUUAUAGGCAUGAGCUAGCAUGCUCGGCUGUGAGUUCAAUUUUUUUCUUUAAAAGCAAGAGAAAGUCACUGUAGAGAUUUUGAGCUCAGAAGUGUCAUGAAUAGACUUGCACAUGUGCAUAUAUUGUUUUUUUUUUUUUUCACCAGGCGCAAACUUAUGGUGGAAGGGACCUACAUUAAGCACACAUAAGUAGAAGCUGGCCAGGCACGGUGGCUCAUGCCUGUAAUCCCAGCACUUUGGGAGGCCGAGACUGGUGGAUCACGAGGUCAGGAGAUCGAGACCAUCCUGGCUAACAUGGUGAAACCCCGUCUCUAUCAAAAAUACAAAAAAAAAUUAGCCAGGUAUGGUGGGGGGCGCCUAUACUCCCAGCUACUCGGGAGGCUAAGGCAGAAGAACGGC